UACGUAGGGGGCUAGCGUUGUCCGGAAUCACUGGGCGUAAAGGGUGCGUAGGCGGGUCUUUAAGUCAGGGGUGAAAUCCUGGAGCUCAACUCCAGAACUGCCUUUGAUACUGAAGAUCUUGAGUUCGGGAGAGGUGAGUGGAACUGCGAGUGUAGAGGUGAAAUUCGUAGAUAUUCGCAAGAACACCAGUGGCGAAGGCGGCUCACUGGCCCGAUACUGACGCUGAGGCACGAAAGCGUGGGGAGCAAACAGGG
rnacentral:rRNA from 1 species